UACGUAGGUGGCAAGCGUUGUCCGGAUUCAUUGGGUUUAAAGGGUGCGCAGGCGGGACAUUAAGUCAGGGGUGAAAGACGGUUGCUCAACAAUCGCAGUGCCUUUGAUACUGGUGUUCUUGGGUAACCUUGAGGUAGGCGGAAUGGGUGGUGUAGCGGUGAAAUGCAUAGAUAUCUGGAGGAACACCGGUGGCGAAGGCGGCAUCCUGGACCAAUAUUGACGCUGAGGAGCGAAAGCCAGGGGAGCAAACGGG
rnacentral:rRNA from 1 species